CAGAAAGCUUACCUUUGGGCGGGUUGUGAAAAGGUGUCAGGAGGCAAGUGUAAGGUUAACUGGAACCUUGUCUGCAAGCCCAAGAUCUAUGGAGGACUGGGUGUGCUGGAUCUAGAGAAACUCGCCACCGCUCUACGAAUCCGUUGGCUGUGGUUUGAGUGGGCCGACCCGCAAAAAACAUGGACUGGAAUGGAAACACCUUGCUCUGACGGUGACAAGGAUCUUUUUGCUGCGGCCACUAGGGUGUCCAUUGGUGAUGGUUCGAAGGCCAAAUUCUGGGAAUCCUCUUGG
rnacentral:rRNA from 1 species